rnacentral:rRNA from 1 species
GUAGGGAAUAUUGGGCAAUGGAUGCAAGUCUGACCCAGCCAUCCCGCGUGCCGGAAGAAGGCCCUCAGGGUUGUAAACGGCUUUUGACGGUGAAGAAUCGACAGGAUGCGUCCUGUUUUGACGGUAGCCGUUGAAUAAGCACCGGCUAACUCCGUGCCAGCAGCCGCGGUAAUACGGAGGGUGCGAGCGUUGUCCGGAUUUAUUGGGUUUAAAGGGUGCGUAGGCUGGAAGGUCAGUCAGCGGUGAAAAGCUAUCGCUUAACGAUAGUCUUGCCGCAGAUACUUCCUUUCUUGGAUGAGGAGGAGGCCACUGGAACGGAUGGUGUAGCGGUGAAAUGCAUAGAUAUCAUCCAGAACACCGAUUGCGAAGGCAGGUGGCUGUACCUUAAUCGACGCUGAUGCACGAAAGCAUGGGGAGCAAACAGGAUUAGAUACCCGGGUAGUCC